UGAGCCUCGCCCGCGAUUCCCGGCGCGGCACGUGUUCCUGGCAGGCGCCCAGCGCCAGGAGACUGUACCGUUACCGCCUGCGAUGGUAUCGCGGAGACGCCCUUGGGAGCCAUCCGAUAUGGUACUAUUAUCAGGCCCAUUUUAUAAAUGAGGCAACCGAAACUCCGUAUGUGACAGAUCCAGGAUUCAAACCCAAUCUGUCAACUUCACAGCUUUUAUGGACACUGCAUUGUCUCUAUCUACUUUUUAAAAUUUCACAAGGUCCUGUGGCUUUCCUUCAGUGCUGUUUUCUUGGAAAUUUUUAUUUAUUAUUAAAUCAGUUUUAAAACCCUAUAGAGAAUAAAUGGUUUCACUCAA